AUGUACCUCAGUGGUAGAGUAUGUGCUUAGCAUGUAUGAGAUCCUGGGUUCAAUUCCCAGUAU
rnacentral:tRNA from 1 species